rnacentral:rRNA from 1 species
UUAAAUCUGUUUUUUUAUUUUUUGAUAUUGCAUAUCAUUUAAAAAAAAUUUUAUUAAUAAUAAAAAAUAGAAUUAAAAGGUAGAAUUUUUUUUUAUUUUAUUGUUACAUAAUAAAAAUUAAAAAAUUUAGGGUUGAAAAGUCGACUUUUAAGAUAUCUGUUUUAUUUUAUAUAUUAGAAAUUUAUAAAUUUUAAUUUUAAUAUUAUAAAUAGUAUAAAUUAAAGUUUUUUUAUUUUUAGUUUUAUAACUGUUUAUUUUUUUUAGUAUUAUUUUGAUUUUUUUAUUUGUUAAUUUUUUAUCAAAUAAAUUAUUUUAAAAUUAGUAAAUUUGUUUAAAUUAAGUUUUUUAAAUUAAUUUAAUUUAAUAAUUAAAAAAUUAAUCAAAUGUUUUUUAAAGACUUAGACUUUUAUAUAAAGUUAGCUUCUGCCCAGUGAUUAUUUUAAAUGGCAGUCUUAGCGUGAGGACAUUAAGGUAGCAAAAUAAUUUGUACUUUUAUUGAGUUCCAGUAUGAAUGAAGUUAUUGGUUAAUUAUUUUUUUGUUUUAUUUAGAAUUUUUAAUUGAUAUAAAAAAUUAUUAUUAUAAUUAUACAAAGAUAAGUCUUCGAAAAUUCUUUUUUGUGUUUAUAAUUAAUUUAUAUUUACAAAAAUUUUCUAGGGCAGAAUAUUAUAUAAUUUUUUAAACUAUUAAUAAUUUUAAGAAUUACUUCGGAGUUAACAGAAAAUCAUACCUAAUCUAGUUCUUAUAGUAAGGUAAGUUUUACAUCGAUGUUGUAUUUAAGUUUUUUAAGAGAGGAGAAUGCUUAAUUUUUAAGACUGUUCUUCUUAUAAUUAAUUUAACGUGAUAUUAGUUUAAUUCAUUGUGAGAUAGAAUUGUUUAUCUUGAUAAUUAUUUUUUUUUAGUUUUAAUAGUACGAAAGGAAAAUUAAAAAAAGUUUGAAACUUUAUAAGAAUUUUCUUA